rnacentral:rRNA from 1 species
GUGGGUAGUUUGACUGGGGCGGUCUCCUCCUAAAGAGUAACGGAGGAGCACGAAGGUUGGCUAAUCCUGGUCGGACAUCAGGAGGUUAGUGCAAUGGCAUAAGCCAGCUUGACUGCGAGCGUGACGGCGCGAGCAGGUGCGAAAGCAGGUCAUAGUGAUCCGGUGGUUCUGAAUGGAAGGGCCAUCGCUCAACGGAUAAAAGGUACUCCGGGGAUAACAGGCUGAUACCGCCCAAGAGUUCAUAUCGACGGCGGUGUUUGGCACCUCGAUGUCGGCUCAUCACAUCCUGGGGCUGAAGUAGGUCCCAAGGGUAUGGCUGUUCGCCAUUUAAAGUGGUACGCGAGCUGGGUUUAGAACGUCGUGAGACAGUUCGGUCCCUAUCUGCCGUGGGCGCUG